ensembl:lncRNA
CAUGCACGCCAACUGUCAUUGGCUUGUUUAGUUAACACUCGAAGGUGAUUGGGCUCUCGGGCGAGAUCCCAAUUCGUAACGUCGAACGUGACUGACUGAAAGGGAAUUAGAGUUGUUAUGUCCAGCAUAUGAAAUACUAGGUUACUGCCUGAGAAGGUACAGAGUUAGUACAAAACCAGACUUAGUCCAAACCACAAUCUUUUUAGCAAUUAGCUAAAUGGCCAUUGCAAGUAAUGCUAUGGAAACCUGACGUCACACUGCAAUGCAUUGUGGGAUUUUAGGAUACGGGGACAUUGAUGAAAAAUAGAUUUUCUAUUAAUGAGAAUACACCUAUUAUUCCACAAUGAACAAUUAUGGGGAAAUUUGUGUUUGUAUAACAAUUUCCAAUAUAAUACUUAAACUGAAACCAACAUCCUGACCAUCAAGAGCCAAAAUGUAUAAAAUUCUAGAAAAAAAAUAGCGAGUGAGAAAAUCACUUUUUGUGGUGAACUAAACUAAUUUCAUCCCAGAGGACAAAAUGAUUGGUCUGAACAAGAACAAAACAAAAAACAACAACACUGAAACCACAAGAUGUGAUUGACAUGUUUCAUUGAAUUAAGUCUGAUUAUUGAACAGGUCGAGUUCUUGGGGAAGAAGCUGAUAACCCAAAUAAUGUAGCUGAAGAAAUUGCUUAUCAGCAGAGAGAUUUACCAGAUGGUAAGUUACUGUAAAACAAUGUGCAUUUUCAUUGUCCAUUACAUGUAAUCAUAAUUAACAAAAAAUGAUUAUUGUUCAAACAGGUCAGGACGAACGUGGUCCACUUAUUGAUGGUCGAGUUCUUGGGGAAGAAGCUGAUAACCCAAACAAUGGUCAGGAAGAAUGUGAUCCACAGCAGGAUAUGUUUCAUUCCGAACCAGAUCAACUGAAGAAAAUAACAGUGAAGCAAGGAGAAACAGUCACUCUAAAGACUGGUGUUACUGACAUGCAGAGAGAUGAUCUGCUACGGUGGAAGUACGCUGAUUCCAGAGUAUCUGAAUCCACAACCUUAUUUAGUGUCAUCGCCGUAUGCAAUAAAAGGACCGCUAGGAUCGCAGUAAAGGAAGGUCCUGGAGGGAAAUUCAAAGACAGACUACAGCUGGACCAUCAGACUGGAAAUCUCACGAUCAAGAACAUGAGAGUCAAAGACACUGGGCAUUUUAAACUAGAGAUCAAGAACAACAAACAUCAGCUGACAAAAACCAUCAAAGUCAAUGUCUGUGCUUCCACAAAAAAGCAAGGGGACGAUCCAAAUGAGACAAAUUUGUCCUUGAUACCAGAAGAGGACCCCAGCAACACUAGUACAUAUACUGUGGAGCCGAUGGACACGGCCGAUGCAUCUUUUACUCCAUGCAUCUUUUAUGUUGGCCGUUUGACGCCUCUUUUAUAUUUUGGAAUAUUAUUUCAUAUUUUGGGAUAUUGUAAAACACAAGCUUUAAAGAUCCUAUGAGAAAUGUUAAAACUAACAGCUGCUAAAUGUAUGGUUAUGUGACCCUCUCCAAAGGAUUCCUUUAACACAGUUUGUGUGUUUGACGUUUUUAUGUAAAUAUGAUUUUAGAAAAUAUUAGAAUAUUUUUGUUUUGUACUAUUAUAUUAUUGUGAAUCCUUUUGGUGAUACAAGACUCCACCUUAAAUAUUACUCCAAUAGGUUAUUAAGGAACCAAGCACAAAUAAUUGAUCAAUCCCAUAGUAGUAUGUAUUGGAAAACACAGCUAAUGAUACAUUUUCAAUCAAAAUUGUUAGAAGCAAAGCUACUAUUACUUGGUUACACUCUAAUACAUUAUCAAUGCUACUCAGGUACCCUUAUAGUAUGGUGCUAAAGAAUUACACAAUACAGUAAAACUACACUCUAAAAAAUGCUGGGUUGUUUCAACCCAAUGUUGGGUUAAAAAGUUAAUUUAAAAAUGUAACCAAAAUUUAACCCAACAGUUGGGUUAGUCCAUAUUUGACCCAACAUUGGGUUGAAACAACCCAGCAUUUUUUAGAGUGUAUAACUAUGCUAAUCUCUGGACCAAAAUGGCAGUGCCAAAACAUUUAUGAGGCUCAUAUUGUACAGAAACUGUACCGGUUUAUUUGCAUCGUAUAAAAUGAAUUGGGAGUGACACUGUCAUUAAUGUUGAUGUUAACUUGUAAUGUGAGCAUGUUGUGACAUACUGAGGUUUUAAUAUUCAGUCUAAUGUUUAUUUACAUACUGUGAUAUUUGAGAUGUUCUUUGUAAACUCACUGUGAAAACACUCAGUAUUAUGAAUGCAAUAUAUUUUAGCGACUAAUAAAACGUAUGAAAACCUCGCAAUGAGUUAUUU